AUGAACGCUAGCUACAGGCUUAACACAUGCAAGUCGAGGGGCAGCAUGGUCUUAGCUUGCUAAGGCCGAUGGCGACCGGCGCACGGGUGAGUAACACGUAUCCAACCUGCCGUCUACUCUUGGACAGCCUUCUGAAAGGAAGAUUAAUACAAGAUGGCAUCAUGAGUUCGCAUGUUCACAUGAUUAAAGGUAUUCCGGUAGACGAUGGGGAUGCGUUCCAUUAGAUAGUAGGCGGGGUAACGGCCCACCUAGUCUUCGAUGGAUAGGGGUUCUGAGAGGAAGGUCCCCCACAUUGGAACUGAGACACGGUCCAAACUCCUACGGGAGGCAGCAGUGAGGAAUAUUGGUCAAUGGGCGCAGGCCUGAACCAGCCAAGUAGCGUGAAGGAUGACUGCCCUAUGGGUUGUAAACUUCUUUUAUAAAGGAAUAAAGUCGGGUAUGUAUACCCGUUUGCAUGUACUUUAUGAAUAAGGAUCGGCUAACUCCGUGCCAGCAGCCGCGGUAAUACGGAGGAUCCGAGCGUUAUCCGGAUUUAUUGGGUUUAAAGGGAGCGUAGAUGGAUGUUUAAGUCAGUUGUGAAAGUUUGCGGCUCAACCGUAAAAUUGCAGUUGAUACUGGAUAUCUUGAGUGCAGUUGAGGCAGGCGGAAUUCGUGGUGUAGCGGUGAAAUGCUUAGAUAUCACGAAGAACUCCGAUUGCGAAGGCAGCCUGCUAAGCUGCAACUGACAUUGAGGCUCGAAAGUGUGGGUAUCAAACAGGAUUAGAUACCCUGGUAGUCCACGCCGUAAACGAUGAGUGCUAGGUGUUGGGUCCUUUCCGGGACUCAGUGCCGCAGCUAACGCAUUAAGCACUCCGCCUGGGGAGUACGACCGCAAGGUUGAAACUCAAAGGAAUUGACGGGGGCCCGCACAAGCGGUGGAGCAUGUGGUUUAAUUCGAAGCAACGCGAAGAACCUUACCAGGUCUUGACAUCCCUCUGACCGCUCUAGAGAUAGAGCUUUCCUUCGGGACAGAGGUGACAGGUGGUGCAUGGUUGUCGUCAGCUCGUGUCGUGAGAUGUUGGGUUAAGUCCCGCAACGAGCGCAACCCUUGUUGUCAGUUACUAACAGGUUCCGCUGAGGACUCUGACAAGACUGCCAUCGUAAGAUGUGAGGAAGGUGGGGAUGACGUCAAAUCAGCACGGCCCUUACGUCCGGGGCUACACACGUGUUACAAUGGGGGGUACAGAGGGCCGCUACCACGCGAGUGGAUGCCAAUCCCCAAAACCUCUCUCAGUUCGGACUGGAGUCUGCAACCCGACUCCACGAAGCUGGAUUCGCUAGUAAUCGCGCAUCAGCCACGGCGCGGUGAAUACGUUCCCGGGCCUUGUACACACCGCCCGUCAAGCCAUGGGAGCCGGGGGUACCUGAAGUGCGUAACCGCGAGGAGCGCCCUAGGGUAAAACUGGUGACUGGGGCU
rnacentral:rRNA from 1 species